rnacentral:rRNA from 1 species
UACGAGGGGGGCAAAUGUUGUUCGGAAUCACUGGGCGUAAAGGGCGCGUAGGCGGUUCGUACAGUCAGACGUGAAAUUCCUGGGCUCAACCUGGGGGCUGCGUUUGAUACGUGCGGACUUGAGUGCGGAAGAGGGUCGUGGAAUUCCCAGUGUAGAGGUGAAAUUCGUAGAUAUUGGGAAGAACACCGGUGGCGAAGGCGGCG